rnacentral:rRNA from 1 species
GAUGAACGCUAGCUACAGGCUUAACACAUGCAAGUCGAGGGGCAGCAGGAUCUAGCAAUAGAUUGCUGGCGACCGGCGCACGGGUGAGUAACACGUAUCCAACCUGCCGAUAACUCGGGGAUAGCCUUUCGAAAGAAAGAUUAAUACCCGAUGGUAUAAUCAGACCACAUGGUUUGAUUAUUAAAGAAUUUCGGUUAUCGAUGGGGAUGCGUUCCAUUAGGCAGUUGGUGAGGUAACGGCUCACCAAACCUUCGAUGGAUAGGGGUUCUGAGAGGAAGGUCCCCCACAUUGGAACUGAGACACGGUCCAAACUCCUACGGGAGGCAGCAGUGAGGAAUAUUGGUCAAUGGACGCGAGUCUGAACCAGCCAAGUAGCGUGAAGGAUGACUGCCCUAUGGGUUGUAAACUUCUUUUAUAUGGGAAUAAAGUUUUCCACGUGUGGAAUUUUGUAUGUACCAUAUGAAUAAGGAUCGGCUAACUCCGUGCCAGCAGCCGCGGUAAUACGGAGGAUCCGAGCGUUAUCCGGAUUUAUUGGGUUUAAAGGGAGCGUAGGUGGACAGUUAAGUCAGUUGUGAAAGUUUGCGGCUCAACCGUAAAAUUGCAGUUGAUACUGGCUGUCUUGAGUACAGUAGAGGUGGGCGGAAUUCGUGGUGUAGCGGUGAAAUGCUUAGAUAUCACGAAGAACUCCGAUUGCGAAGGCAGCUCACUGGACUGCAACUGACACUGAUGCUCGAAAGUGUGGGUAUCAAACAGGAUUAGAUACCCUGGUAGUCCACACAGUAAACGAUGAAUACUCGCUGUUUGCGAUAUACAGUAAGCGGCCAAGCGAAAGCAUUAAGUAUUCCACCUGGGGAGUACGCCGGCAACGGUGAAACUCAAAGGAAUUGACGGGGGCCCGCACAAGCGGAGGAACAUGUGGUUUAAUUCGAUGAUACGCGAGGAACCUUACCCGGGCUUAAAUUGCAUUUGAAUAAUCUGGAAACAGGUUAGCCGCAAGGCAAAUGUGAAGGUGCUGCAUGGUUGUCGUCAGCUCGUGCCGUGAGGUGUCGGCUUAAGUGCCAUAACGAGCGCAACCCUUAUCUUUAGUUACUAACAGGUCAUGCUGAGGACUCUAGAGAGACUGCCGUCGUAAGAUGUGAGGAAGGUGGGGAUGACGUCAAAUCAGCACGGCCCUUACGUCCGGGGCUACACACGUGUUACAAUGGGGGGUACAGAAGGCAGCUACCUGGUGACAGGAUGCUAAUCCCAAAAGCCUCUCUCAGUUCGGAUCGAAGUCUGCAACCCGACUUCGUGAAGCUGGAUUCGCUAGUAAUCGCGCAUCAGCCAUGGCGCGGUGAAUACGUUCCCGGGCCU